AUAAACAUCAGCUAUAAAACAAGGCGUUUUGACUGAAGAGUUUAUGGCCUAGUCAGUCUAAUCCAAUGUGUUUUUUCACAGUUUGAUUGUACUGUUACUGGUCAAUUCAAAUGUAUAUUGUCUGUCUUAUUCAAUGUAAUCGUGAGAUUUCCUGACUAUGAUUCACGUAUUACCAUGACAUGCGCACAGUCAGAUCUCCGGCAAGACGCUAACCUUAC